rfam:Leuconostoc pseudomesenteroides PS12 contig_048, whole genome shotgun sequence.
AUAUAUCAAAGAGGUUGCAAUCAACAUGAGUCGCAUAAUUGAGUCUGCCAAGACGUUGAUGUUAUGUUAAAGGGGCGAUUGCCGAAAAUGUCAUCUGGCAAUAUGAUGUUUGGGCUGGUAAUUAACAGUUACUAGACUGUCGUAGUAAUACGGUGCGCUUUGAAAAGU